GCUGGUUAUUCCUUUGUUGUAAGGCGUGCAAUUGUUUACUAUGUUGUAACACAAUUGCAACAAAGCAAUUUCAAGCUACUUCGAUCGUCCUUGCGUUCCAAACAGAGUAAAAGGUGAGCCCUGUAAAUAGUAAAUCCUUUUUUUCUUAACUAAAUAUAUAGAAACUGCGUUUCAAGUGAAACGCAGCCGCAGCCACUAAAUAGUCUAACUGGGUAGGCUCUUGUUUAUUCUUUCUUCUUCCCUCAUGAGAUUUCAUCUUAGCCUCUCCCCUUGCUUGCUCUCAUAAGCGUUCUUUGAGGCUAUGAGAGAGAAGAGAGCGUGAUGGCGAAAAUUAAUAAAAGCCCAACCCCCAACACCCUGUGCAAAUCUUCAAUCAAACAGAAUUAAUUAGGUUAGAUAUCUGGCACAUCCCUGCAUUUAUACCUCCUCCUCACCUGCCCUGUCUGUGCUCUGUACAGCUCUCCGGAUUCCCUUGCUAUCUUUGAAAAUCUCAAACAACUAGCCAAACCCUUCAGGCAUCAAUGAUAGAAACUAAUGACCGAGGACAUGAUCCCAAGGCCAGGAGAAGAAGGUGUUUCAUUGUUGGUGGGGUAGUUCUCCUCUUGCUGCUGCUGCUAUUCAUUAUUGUUCUCAUCCUUGCCCUGACAGUUUUCAAGCCUAAAGAGCCCAGAACCGAGCUCGUAUCGGCUACCCUCGAAGGCAUUUCUCCUCGCAUUUCAUUCUCUCCUGUUAGUAUCCAACUUAACGUCACCCUCAAUCUCACACUCCUCGUCAAGAAUCCUAACCAUGCCAGCUUCAAACAUGGCCCUGGAAAGAGCUACCUUCUAUAUCAAGGCGACCAGGUGGGAGAGGCUGACUUGUGCCCAGGCCUGAUACCCUCUAAGGGGACUCAGACACUUCCUUCCCAGCUUACCAUAGAGGUGGAUGCGAUGGCAAGUCAUAUUUCAGCUUUAAUCAGUGAUGUUCUGCAAGGGCAGCUUGUUAUUGAAACACGAACGAGAAUUCCUGGCAGGGUCUCCUUCCUGAAGAUAUUCAGAAAGCACGCUGUUGCUACUUCUGAUUGCCGACUCGCUAUUGAUAUUCCUUCCAUCAAGAUUCAAAGCCAAGAAUGCAAGAGCAAGACUAAGUUAUGAUGAAACCAACAAAAGUUUGUGCUGUAGCAUGCAUGCCUAUUAUGCUUCUUCAGUUUUGAUUUCCGCACCAUAUGGCACAGGAAUCAGGAAGGAAGCAGGCCACUCGUAACAGUUUCACAAUUCUUACCUUCUCCAAAAUUUCCAAACAUUGCGGAGUUUCUGUGCAUAGCCCCACCAUGCAUCAAGCACAGCCGCAAGCAUUGAACGCAAUUUAAUUGUCAAUCUUUGAAGCGAUUCCGAUGCUUCAAACUUGGUGCCGAUGUGGCUGCAAAGUUGAAUUUUAGCGCUUUUGGGGAAUCUUGAAAGGGAAAAAUGAAUCUUCUAUCACUUCGCUUGCUGUACAGAUUUAAAUGAAUUGGCAAUUCUGAGGCAAAAUCGAUGUAGAAACGGCGACUCAUCUUAACUAGAACUUUCUCCACUUCAGUUCUUAGCACCUGGAACACUUUCGCUACUGCCACAGGCAAAAAUUUCUUUGCAUUCACUACCUAUCAGUCACUUUCAUAUACAGAUCCAAAAGAAAGUGUCUGGUACACUGGA